GACGAACGCUGGCGGCGUGCUUAACACAUGCAAGUCGAACGGAAAGGCCCUGCUUUUGUGGGGUGCUCGAGUGGCGAACGGGUGAGUAACACGUGAGUAACCUGCCCUUGACUUUGGGAUAACUUCAGGAAACUGGGGCUAAUACCGGAUAGGAGCUCCUGCUGCAUGGUGGGGGUUGGAAAGUUUCGGCGGUUGGGGCUGGACUCGCGGCUUAUCAGCUUGUUGGUGGGGUAGUGGCUUACCAAGGCUUUGACGGGUAGCCGGCCUGAGAGGGUGACCGGGCACAUUGGGACUGAGAUACGGCCCAGACUCCUACGGGAGGCAGCAGUGGGGAAUAUUGCACAAUGGGCGGAAGCCUGAUGCAGCAACGCCGCGUGCGGGAUGACGGCCUUCGGGUUGUAAACCGCUUUCGCCUGUGACGAAGCGUGAGUGACGGUAAUGGGUAAAGAAGCACCGGCUAACUACGUG
rnacentral:rRNA from 1 species